rnacentral:rRNA from 1 species
AACGAACGCUGGCGGCAGGCUUAACACAUGCAAGUCGAGCGCCCCGCAAGGGGAGCGGCAGACGGGUGAGUAACGCGUGGGAACGUACCCUUAUCUUCGGGAUAGCUCCGGGAAACUGGAAUUAAUACCGAAUGUGCCCUUUGGGGGAAAGAUUUAUCGGAUAAGGAUCGGCCCGCGUUGGAUUAGCUAGUUGGUGGGGUAAAGGCCUACCAAGGCGACGAUCCAUAGCUGGUCUGAGAGGAUGAUCAGCCACAUUGGGACUGAGACACGGCCCAAACUCCGAGGGGAGGAAGCAGGGGGGAAUGGUGGACAGGGGGCGACGGACUGAGCCAGCAAUGCGGGGUGAGUGAUAAAGGUCGGAGGGUGGAAAAGCUCUCUCGACGGAGAAGAGAAGGGGGGUAUGGGAAUAAGAAGCCCCGGCAACGGUGGUGGAGACAACGGCAGUAAAAAUGGAAAAACAAACUUGUAAAC